rnacentral:misc_RNA from 1 species
CGCACCUUGCGCUCGCUGGUAUUCCGGCGAGCAUGCCUGUUUGAGUGUCAUGAACUCUUCAACCCUCCAGUUCCUUGUUGAAUUGCGAGGUGCUUGGAUCUUGAACAUUUGCUGGUCCAUCUCGGAUGAAGCUCGUUCGUAAUGCAUUAGCAUCUCAUUUCGAAUACAAUUCGGUUUGACUCGGCGUAAUAGACUUUAUAUUCGCUGAGGACACUUUCGUAGUGGCCGAAUUUCGAAGUAGAAGCUUCCAAUCUUUUUGAAAGUCAAUUUCUAAGAUUAGACCUCAGAUCAGGCAGGACUACCCGCUGAACUUAA